rnacentral:rRNA from 1 species
GACGAACGCUGGCGGCGUGCCUAAUACAUGCAAGUAGAACGCUGAAGAGAGGAGCUUGCUCUUCUUGGAUGAGUUGCGAACGGGUGAGUAACGCGUAGGUAACCUGCCUUGUAGCGGGGGAUAACUAUUGGAAACGAUAGCUAAUACCGCAUAACAAUGGAUGACACAUGUCAUUUAUUUGAAAGGGGCAAUUGCUCCACUACAAGAUGGACCUGCGUUGUAUUAGCUAGUAGGUGAGGUAAUGGCUCACCUAGGCGACGAUACAUAGCCGACCUGAGAGGGUGAUCGGCCACACUGGGACUGAGACACGGCCCAGACUCCUACGGGAGGCAGCAGUAGGGAAUCUUCGGCAAUGGGGGCAACCCUGACCGAGCAACGCCGCGUGAGUGAAGAAGGUUUUCGGAUCGUAAAGCUCUGUUGUAAGUCAAGAACGGGUGUGAGAGUGGAAAGUGCACACUGUGACGGUAGCUUACCAGAAAGGGACGGCGAACUACGU